rnacentral:rRNA from 1 species
GAUGAACGCUGGCGGCGUGCCUAAUACAUGCAAGUCGAGCGAACGGACGAGAAGCUUGCUUCUCUGAUGUUAGCGGCGGACGGGUGAGUAACACGUGGAUAACCUACCUAUAAGACUGGGAUAACUUCGGGAAACCGGAGCUAAUACCGGAUAAUAUUUUGAACCGCAUGGUUCAAAAGUGAAAGACGGUCUUGCUGUCACUUAUAGAUGGAUCCGCGCUGCAUUAGCUAGUUGGUAAGGUAACGGCUUACCAAGGCAACGAUGCAUAGCUGACCUGAGAGGGUGAUCAGCCACACUGGAACUGAGACACGGUCCAGACUCCUACGGGAGGCAGCAGUAGGGAAUCUUCCGCAAUGGGCGAAAGCCUGACGGAGCAACGCCGCGUGAGUGAUGAAGGUCUUCGGAUCGUAAAACUCUGUUAUUAGGGAAGAACAUAUGUGUAAGUAACUGUGCACAUCUUGACGGUACCUAAUCAGAAAGCCACGGCUAACUACGUG